UCGGGAAAGGCUCUCGAGGACUGUGCUUUGUUAUCUAGAUUCCUCGUUAUCUCGUUCGCUGACCUUAAGAAGUGGAGUUUCCGUUAUUGGUUUGCGUUCCCUGCACUUGUUCUUGAUCCUCCUGCAAGUUUGGUUGAAUUAAAGCCAGCUUCGGAGUAUUUUACUUCAGAAGAAGCAGAAUCAGUAUCUGCUGCGUGUAAUGAGUGGCGUGACUCAAGUUUAACAACUGGUACUCAACAACAUUCUCGUUCUACUUUGUUUAUUCUUGCUAUUCCCAUUCAACAAGUGGUUGCUGAAAACGUUUGUUACUUCUCUGUGUUAUGGCUAUUAGAUGUUCCAUUCUUUUUGGUUUCGGUUUCGUCUGAUGAUUCAAAAGCUACCAUCACACCUCUUAAAGACUGGGAAGCCUGCCAAGGUGAUCAUCAUAAGGUAUGUGUAAACUAAUCUCUUUCAAAAGCGUUAGAACCAAUUAAAAACUUUACCUUGAUCUACCUCUCUUCCUGCAGUUACUUUUCGGUUUCUAUGACCCGUGUCACCUUCCUAGUAACCCUGGCUGGCCACUUCGGAAUUAUCUAGCACUUAUUCGCUCAAAGUGGAACCUCGAGACUGUUUGGUUCUUCUGCUACAGAGAGAGCCGCGGUUUCGCUGACAUGAGCCUUUCUCUUGUUGGUCAAGCCUCCAUUACACUCUCUUCUGAUUCAUCUGUACCUAACUCAGUGGGAUGGGAGCUUAACAAAGGAAAACGAGCUCCCAGAUCCAUUAGCCUUGCUAACUCCAUGGAUCCAACCAGGUACAUGUUUGCUCUCUGUCAAUGCUUUAGAUAACCAAAUAGAUAAGAUCUGAUUAACGAUCCUUUUCGCAGGUUGGCUGUUUCUGCUUGUGAUUUAAACUUGAAGUUAAUGAGAUGGCGUGCGUUACCGUCUCUAGACUUAAACGUUCUGUCCUCUGUCAAAUGCCUUCUUCUUGGAGCUGGUACAUUGGGUUGCCAAGUUGCUCGUACUCUUAUGGUAAUGCAUCAACGAGAAUGCUGACACUAAACAAUCUUACAAACUCACUUACACCUCUAUCCUUUUCCAUUUAGGGUUGGGGGAUCCGCAACAUAACCUUUGUUGAUUACGGCAAAGUAGCUAUGUCUAAUCCAGUCAGACAAUCUCUCUACACGUUUGAAGACUGUGUUGGUCGUGGCGAGUUCAAAGCCGUUGCUGCUGUUAAAAGCCUUAAACAGAUCUUUCCAGCAGUGGAAUCUAGUGGAGUUGUUAUGGCUAUACCGAUGCCUGGACAUCCCAUCUCUAGCCAAGAAGAAGAAUCUGUUCUCGGUGAUUGCAAACGCCUUCGUGAUUUGAUUGAGUCUCAUGAUGCAGUGUUCUUGUUGACUGAUACAAGAGAAAGCAGGUGGCUACCUUCUCUUCUUUGUGCUAACGCUAAUAAGGUAACAACAUUUAACUCUGAUUCUUUCUUUUCUUGUUUUCUUGUUAUACAAGUAACACAAACUGUUUUGAUUUUGAAUUUUCAGAUUGCUAUAAACGCGGCUUUAGGUUUCGACAGCUACAUGGUAAUGCGCCAUGGUGCUGGCCCCAACUCGUUGUCUGAUGAUAUGCAGAAUCUUGAUAUUAACAAGACAGGAAGACAGAGACUUGGUUGUUAUUUCUGUAACGACGUUGUUGCACCUCAAGAUGUAAUAGUUCUUGGUUUAGACUUUGUUUUAUGUUACCUCAAGCUUUUGCUUGUGGUGAACUUAUUUUUUUGUUUUUACAUUUUGCAGUCAAUGACUGAUCGGACACUGGACCAGCAAUGCACUGUUACACGCCCAGGGCUAGCUCCUAUUGCAGGAGCUUUAGCCGUUGAACUCUUAGUCGGAGUUCUACAACACCCACUUGGGUAAGUCUUUUGAAAGUCUGACUCAGUCCACAGGCUUGUCUUCUUACAUGUGUUUUUCUUUUAUAGUAUCUAUGCAAAAGGAGACAACUCGAGUUCGAGUAAUGGAGGAAACUCCGAUGAAUCACCUCUCGGGAUCUUACCUCAUCAGAUUAGAGGCUCAGUUUCUCAGUUCUCACAGAUCACACUGCUCGGACAAGCCUCCAACAGCUGCACAGCUUGUUCUGAAACUGUAAGUCUCUACAUGAGAUCUUUCUUUACAAAACGUGGCUUGCACGGUUUCUUAUGGAUGUUAAAUUACGCGUGUUUCAGGUGGUGUCAGAGUAUAGAGAAAAAGGAAACAGUUUCAUACUUGAAGCUAUUAACCAUCCUACAUACCUGGAGGAUCUUACCGGUUUAACCGAGCUUAAGAAAGCUGCUAAUUCGUUUAGCCUCGAUUGGGAAGACGAUGAUGAUGACGAUGAAGCUGUAGAUAUGUAAUAAGUCAUUUUCAUUACAGGUUUUAUGAAUCAUAAGAUGGCUCGGAUAUGGUGGUCAUGUUGUAUUCUUGAUAAUCACAAGUGACUUGACCAUCAUUUUCGAAGUUAGUUUAAUAUCAUUCGCUAAUAAACAUGCAGUUAGUUGUCAUUCAUAGCAAGUGUUGAUUCAAGUCUUAUUAUUAUCAAAUAAAAUUAUUUUAUUUCUUUAUCAUGUUGAGUUCUUCCGAUUUAAACAGAUUAAAUUUUUUUCAAACAAUUAUAAUUAGAUGUUCAGUUAUAAAAGAUAACAUGUUGAAAAAUUAAACCAAGAUACACACAAUGUAUAACAUAACAUUGAAUACAAAUAGACUUAUACCACCAAUCUCAAAAAACUUUUAGGCUUUGAAUAUCGAGAAUGAAGAGGAACCCUAAUUAUAAAUGUUUGAAAUAUGUUUUCUUUUUCAUUCUUCUUCGUCCAUUUGUUUGUAGAGAAUUAUAGAAUAAAUCUAUUUCUUAUUAAUUUUGAUAAUGAACUAUCAUUCUUGUCAUUCCUAAAAUUUUAUUCUUAUUCAUUAUUUUCCUAUCCAUUCCUAUUGUUUCUAUGAUGGUUACCAGUCAGACCCUUAUAGUUGGAUCAUUUAUAAAGUAAUAAUAUGUUACAAAAUCAGACCAAGAAACGCACUACAUUGUGAAGAUGAAGCAAUAAGAAACAAGAUGGUUGGUUAAGUUCUCAAGACAAUGGAGAUACCACUACAAGAGACAAGCAUGCAUGGUUGGUUAAGGUCUCAAGACAAUGGAGAUGCCACUACAAGGGACAAGCAUGCAUGGUGGGUUAAGGUCUCAAGACAAAGGAGAUGCCACUACAAGGGACAAGCAUGUAUGGUGGGUUAAAGUCUCAAGACAAUGGAUUAUUAGUUUAUCAUAUCUCAUCUACCAUUUGCCAUACUUGUAACCCCUAUAUAUAUGGGAUGUUCCCAUAAGCAAAUUAAUCAAGCAAAUAAGAUUCUCCUUAUUUACUCUAUCUCUCUCUACUUUCUAGAUUAAACAUCUCUCUCUCUUGUUCUUCACUAUGUUCUUCAAUUUCUAACAUGGUAUCAGAGCAUCCAAGCUCUUGAACACCAAACUGCUUCCGCAAAUUUACUCUAUUCACCUUACUCUUUCACUUGUUUGGUUUACUUUCUUCAUUUCUAGAGAACAUAUCUUGGCUUCCCUUGUUUUCUCUCUUGCCUAGCCUCAGAAAUUCAAAUUUCUCCUUGGCAAAUUUUUUAUUUUUUACCCGCUGGACAAUAGCAAGCAAAGAUGGAGCAGCACAAGCUAGUUAGGAUUCCAGUCAUCCUGAAAGGUCCUAACUACAUUACCUGGUCGAGAUUGACCAGGACAGCUCUUGGAGGAAGAGGUCUAUGGGAGCACAUCACCACAAGUGAGGCCCCAAGACAAAUCACCCAAGGAGAAGAUGGCAAGGAGGUUGUAGUGGUAGAUGAAGGCAAAUGGGGUCAGGAGGAUCUCAUGGUGCUGUCUAUCUUGCAAGGCUCACUUGAUACUCCUAUCAUGGAGUCUUACUCACAUUGUGAGACUGCAAAGAAGCUAUGGGAUACCUUACACAAGGUAUAUGGCAACACUUCAAACCUCACCAGAAUUUUUGAGGUUAAGAGGGCAAUCAACAACUUACAGCAAGAGGAGAUGGACUUCACCAAGCACCUUGGGAAGUACAGCCAGCUGUGGUCUGAACUUGAGAUGCUGAGACCAAGUACCACUGAUCCUAGUACACUAGAAGAGAGGCGUGAGCAAGACAAGGUCUUUGGAUUGCUUCUCACACUCAACCCAAGCUUCAAUGAUGUACUUAAACACAUAUUGAGAGCUAAAGAGCUUCCAAGCUAUGAUGAUGAAAAAAAAAAAAAAAAAAAAAGAGAUUAAAAAGAUUCGGGCACCGAAGAUGAUACUUCAAUUCGCUCCAUUGAACAGCUCCGUCGACGAAGGUUUCUGGCACAGCUUUUCCUCUCUGAAACUCGAUAAGCUCGGAAUCGACGAUUCUCCGAUCUCCAUCACGGGUACGACCAAUUACCAAACUACCCCCCACAACAUCGAUUCCAAUAUAGAGAAGUCCAUAAUUCGAUGCAUUCACAUUGAUUUCAGCGAUCCCUUUAGGUUAGAGAACAAACAAACAAAAAAACGUUGAUACACAUUUUUGUAGAUUCAUCUUCACGAGUUUUUGAAUUGAAUAAAGUUUAAAACUUUAAUAUAUAACUCAUGUGGGGUUUGCUAUCAUCAUCCAGGUUGAAACUAUGUAUAGAUUCGUCUUCACGAGUUGGUUUUAUCUGAUUCUCGUGUAUAUGCCAUUGGAGAUUAGAAUGUGCUGAGGUAUUUUGUUUCUUUGGAUUGUGGAACUUGCAGGUUUCUAUGCACCGUGUUCUCAUCCACAAGUCUCAAACCAUCUGACUCUUCUUUCUUCAGAGUCAUUGCCUUCUUCUUCAGAUGAACAGUCAUCGACCGAGAAUACUAUUCACGGGAAUAGGAACAAGUGUCCUGUUCCAGGGACUCUCUACAACACCAACACCGUCGAAAGCUUUACUAAACUCGACAAACAAAGCUUGUUAAAAUCAGAAGCAAACAAGGUAUGUAUGAGUUUUGACUGUUGUUUUUUCCGACAGAAUAUCCAACUAAAACUGUUUGGUGAGUUUCAGAUUUGGGAAGAUAUUCAAUCGGGAAAGGCUCUCGAGGACUGUGCUUUGUUAUCUAGAUUCCUCGUUAUCUCGUUCGCUGACCUUAAGAAGUGGAGUUUCCGUUAUUGGUUUGCGUUCCCUGCACUUGUUCUUGAUCCUCCUGCAAGUUUGGUUGAAUUAAAGCCAGCUUCGGAGUAUUUUACUUCAGAAGAAGCAGAAUCAGUAUCUGCUGCGUGUAAUGAGUGGCGUGAC
rnacentral:lncRNA from 1 species